UACGAACGCUGGCGGCGUGCUUAACACAUGCAAGCCGAACGGAAAGGCCCUGCUUUUGUGGGGUGCUCGAGUGGCGAACGGGUGAGUAACACGUGAGUAACCUGCCCUUGACUUUGGGAUAACUUCAGGAAACUGGGGCUAAUACCGGAUAGGAGCUCCUGCUGCAUGGUGGGGGUUGGAAAGUUUCGGCGGUUGGGGAUGGACUCGCGGCUUAUCAGCUUGUUGGUGGGGUAGUGGCUUACCAAGGCUUUGACGGGUAGCCGGCCUGAGAGGGUGACCGGCCACAUUGGGACUGAGAUACGGCCCAGACUCCUACGGGAGGCAGCAGUGGGGAAUAUUGCACAAUGGGCGGAAGCCUGAUGCAGCAACGCCGCGUGCGGGAUGACGGCCUUCGGGUUGUAAACCGCUUUCGCCUGUGACGAAGCGUGAGUGACGGUAAUGGGUAAAGAAGCACCGGCUAACUACGUG
rnacentral:rRNA from 1 species